AGUGAAUAGAUACCCUGGUAGUCCACGCCGUAAACGAUGAGUACUAGGUGUAGGAGGGUCCAACCUUCUGUGCCGCAGUUAAACACAAUGAGUACUCCGCCUGGGAAGUACGAUCGCAAGAUUAAAACUCAAAGGAAUUGACGGGGGCCCGCACAAGCAGCGGAGCAUGUGGUUUAAUUCGAAGCAACGCGAAGAACCUUACCUGGACUUGACAUCCCCUGAAUAGUGCAGAGAUGCAUGAAGCCCUUCGGGGCAGGGAGACAGGUGGUGCAUGGUUGUCGUCAGCUCGUGUCGUGAGAUGUUAGGUUAAGUCCUGCAACGAGCGCAACCCCUAUCAUUAGUUGCUACCAUUAAGUUGAGCACUCUAGUGAGACUGCCCGGGUUAACCGGGAGGAAGGUGGGGAUGACGUCAAAUCAUCAUGCCCCUUAUGUCCAGGGCUACACACGUGCUACAAUGGUAGGUACAGAGAGAUGCAAGACCGCGAGGUGGAGCAAAACUCAAAAACCUAUCCCAGUUCGGAUUGUA
rnacentral:rRNA from 1 species